ACAUGCAGUUGGUGAAAGGGUGGUUUCUAACAGCCGCAGCUUUGCCAACUUCCGAAGAAACCCACGAGAAAAAAGACCAUGCGGUGUUCAUCCUCCUGAGAGACGCGCUUCUGAAGAAAUCAGUCCGUGUUUGGAAGCGUGUGGUGGACAUUACGCGUUUUGAAUCGGGGAGAUGAAGUGAGAGGAUAACCAAAAAAAUCAUCCCGAAAACAGAAACGCCAUGUUUGGCCACAUGCACACUCACGUUUAGUGUAGAUAACACUUCAGUGUGGACGCGCUGCAGCUGCAGCAGUCAUGGACAGACGUUGUUCUUCUGGACACUCAGUUCUGUGAAGGGACUGCAGUAUGUCACCUAGAUCUUUACCGUAUUAGGAGUAAAUGAAGGCGCCAGCUGUACAAAAUGAGCCAGAGAGAAGACGCCCCUGCAGACCGCGGUUUCCUGGUGGGGAUCAUAUUCUUCAUCCUUGGCCUGGGAACGCUGUUGCCAUGGAACUUCUUCAUGACGGCAUCUAUGGUAACGGAGUUUGGAAAACAUUCCAAAUAUGCAAAUUAAGCAGUGCGCUGGUCAGACAGUAUUUCAACAACAGACUCAACGUGUCUGAACGGAGUAAUGAAACAGAAACCACCAGGAAGGAGUAUUAUUUCAAUAACUGGAUGACUCUGCUGUCCCAGCUGCCUUUGCUGCUCUUCACUCUGCUCAACUCUUUUCUCUAUCAGUGGAUCUCUGAGAAGAUGAGGAUAGCAGGCAGUCUGGUCUUCAUCCUCAUCCUCUUCAUCCUCACAGCUGUGCUGGUGAAGAUCCCAAUGGAGGAGGACCGCUUCUUCUCCGUCACCAUGGCCACCAUCUGGUUCAUCAACUCGUUCAGCGCUGUGUUACAGGGAAGUCUGUUUGGUUUGGUGGGUUUGUUGCCGCAGAGGUACAGCGCUGUCUUUAUGAGCGGACAGGGGCUCGCUGGGACAUUCGCUGCUCUUGCAAUGAUCUUCGCCAUCACAAGUGAAGCUGAUAGUGAGUCUGCAGCUCUGGGUUAUUUCAUCACUCCGUGUGUCGGGACCCUCGUCACGCUCUUCAGUUACAUGCUGCUGCCAAAACUGGAGUUUGCUAUAUUUUACCUGGACAGCAAACGCAAGAGUUACGAGCUUGAGACGUCCAGCCAUCUGCUCCCUACAGAUGCUGCUGAAGACCGUGUGAAGAGCAGCGGUCCGUCUAAUGGCUCGGUGGUGAACGGGGAUCAGAAGAGCUCCAUCCUGCAGGUCUUUAAACAGAUCUGGGUUAUGGCGUUUUGUGUGACGUUUGUGUUCACGGUUACUCUGUCAGUUUUCCCUGCGGUUACGGUGGAUGUGAAAACUGUGUACGGAGGGAAAUGGGAACGAUACUUCAUUCCUGUUCUGUGUUUUCUCUUCUUUAAUUUGAUGGACUUUAUUGGCAGAUCGGUCACGUUAGUUUCUAAGUGGCCGUCUAAAGACAGUCGUUUGUUCCCGCUGCUGGUGGUCUGUCGAGUGGUCUUCGUCCCGCUGCUCAUGAUGUGUAACGUACAGGAGAGACACAUCAUGCCUGUGCUCUUCUCAAACGACGUCAUGUUCGCUGCCAUCAUGGUGUUUUUCUCUGUGUCCAGCGGAUACUUUGUGUGUCUGUCCAUGACCUACGCACCACAACUCGUGGAGCCUAAAGAUGGCGAGACGGCCGGUGCGUUGAUGGCGUUUUUUCUGGCUCUUGGUCUGUCUCUGGGAGCUGCGUUGUCGUUCCCUCUGCGUUUUCUGGUCUGACCUCCCCGUCUCACUCUCGGCUCUCGGGCGUCUGCAGAAGGGCUGCGAUAAUAAAUCAAUAACAGCAGAUGCUGCCCUAAUCACUUCUUGAUAGGUGAUGCAUCAGGAUAUAUUCCCAGCCCUUGUCUGUCACAAAUGUAACGGCAUUGCACUUUAUUUGACAGCUUAAAAGAAAAGUGGGAUCCGAUAGUCUGAGACCACGAUCACUUCAGUUUGGGGAUUUUGAGAAACAUGUAUUGCAUAAAACACAGCAUCUCUGAUUCUGCACUAUUUCUGGGUCAGUAAUCGCAUAAGAGAAAAAAAAAAGUGCGACUCCUUUGUGCUCUUUGCCCAAGUCAUGCUGGGAAAACAUGGAUCAUCAGGUUUGAUGUUUCCUCAGCUUUUCAGAUUAUGCUGAUAAUGGGGAAAAACAGUGCAUUAACACUAGGAUUCACAGAUGCAUGGACUUUGUGCUGUAAUGCAUACGACCUUAAGCCUGUCACAUGUUCAAACACGCAUAGAAAGAUAGUGAAGACACCCAUCUGGAAAUGAAUGUAGUAUUUUUAGGGUCCCGCAGGCGAGAGAAGGUUAUAAAAGCUCUCCAGAUUGUGAUGCGUUUGUUUUUGAUAACAGUAAAUGUAAUUUGGACUCUUAGACCAGUUUUCAAACCGAGCUCCAGAGAAAAGUUUUAUUUGAUUUGACAAUUAUUAUCAGUUAGUUGUGUUUCAUAAAGACUGGUUGAAAUAAAUCAUGUUACAAAUAUUCUGAACUUUAUAUAAUGCUGAUUGUUUUUGAGAGUUAACAGAAGAGACGAUGACAUGAAGUGUCUGAUUAUAUUUGUACUUUUUUUUUUUUUUUUUUUUACAUUCGUUGUAUGAGGUUUAUAAAUGAUAAUAAAUUAAAAAACAUCCAAAACGUUGUAGAGAACAUUUAAAUCCGUUAAAUAAAAAUGUAUGCUGAAGGACACUUUUAUUUGUGCUUGUAGUGAAAUAUAAUACUGUAUCAGAGGAAAAUUACAAUAUAAGGAAAUCUAUCACAGUAGUCUGUUCUAGAUCCAGCAGCAAACGUCUCAGAUUAAGGCAAAACAUCAGAAAUGUCAUUAAAUGCACUAAUGAUUGUUUUUCUUUAUAACGAUAUGAUUGAUAUCAACACAUUGCUCACACACACACAGUUUCUACAAACUAAAUCUGUUCUGUCUAUUACGAAACAAAGGUGGUAUCUCAAAUAUUUUAACUUUAUAACCAGGAUGUUAUAUAACCAGGUGUUUAGUUUUAUUCUUUAUUUUUUGCUGUGUAACACUAGCAGUAUUGCUUACAUUUUUUACCAUGAUUUUA